rnacentral:rRNA from 1 species
AUGGAGGCGGCAGGGGAUGGCUCCGUGGGCAUGUUCCGAGCAACGCCGGAUGCCGCCGCCGGCAUCGGCAGAUCUGCUGAGGUUGCUGCUCUCCUGAACAAGAUGGUGGAUGGCCUGGGAGCAACGGUUCUGGACAUCCCCGGGAGCCACGAAUUCACAGUCCAUCCAUCAACUCACCUUUUGAUACAAGCCCUGCAGAAUUACUCCCGCAACACAUAUUUGGUGGAGCCAGUGCAUCACGCCACUGACCCUUGCGCUCACAUGGUCGAUUGCUGGGCAGCCAAGCUCGAGGAAGAUGCAGAGAUGAUACGCCAAGGCGAAAAGGGUGUGAAAUACAUAUUCCUUAUGAACAACACAUGUCUUGUUUUGCAAAUGAUGGGGCGUCCAGGAGCAGCAUCUUUCGCCGGUGCUCAAGAAUUGGCGAGUAGGCUCACAUCAAUGGUGGAGCUGUACAAGAAGUGCUACUUGGACGAGUGUUGGGCUCCUCUGCAUCGCUUAAACUCGGACAUGUUUGCUGCUGAAUUUCGCGCCACCUGUGACUGCCAGUCGACAUGGAAGGUCGGAGCUGAGCUCAGGUACCACCUGCGGCAGGAGAUUGUGGAUUUCGUUGUUCCGCCGUAUGAGGCGUCCUUGUCUGACCGAAGCGCAUGUCCAGGGCCGUCCUUUUCGUUGAAACGAAUGGUGUUCGGAGGGAAGAAACAAAAGAGGUAUGAUACUGGUGCCCAACUGGAAGGGAAGAUAAGAGGAUUGUUUGAGGGAUGA